rnacentral:rRNA from 1 species
GACGUAGGAUGCAAGCGUUGUCCGGAUUUAUUGGGCGUAAAGAGCUCGUAGGCGGUUUGUCGCGUCUGGUGUGAAAAUCUAGGGCUUAACUUUGGAUCUGCAUUGGGUACGGGUAGACUAGAGUGUGGUAGGGGAGAUCGGAAUUCCUGGUGUAGCGGUGAAAUGCGUAGAUAUCAGGAGGAACACCGGUGGCGAAGGCGGGUCUCUGGGCAGUAACUGACGCUGAGGAGCGAAAGCGUGGGGAGCGAACAGG